CAGUAGCCACGGGAAUACGAAGGGGGCUAGCGUUGUUCGGAUUUACUGGGCGUAAAGCGCACGUAGGCGGAUCGAUCAGUCAGGGGUGAAAUCCUGGAGCUCAACUCCAGAACUGCCUUUGAUACUGUCGAUCUCGAGUCCGGAAGAGGUGAGUGGAACUCCUAGUGUAGAGGUGGAAUUCGUAGAUAUUAGGAAGAACACCAGUGGCGAAGGCGGCUCACUGGUCCGGUACUGACGCUGAGGUGCGAAAGCGUGGGGAGCAAACAGGAUUAGAUACCCGCGUAGUCCCUGUCUCUUAUAC
rnacentral:rRNA from 1 species